rnacentral:rRNA from 1 species
AUGAGUUGUUGUAUGUUCUUUAUUGCUCAUUGGAACAAUGAACUGAUUGCAUAUGAUUUGAACAAUGAACAGAUUACAAGUUGGGCAGUUAUUGCUGAGGUGCUCCGUUACGUUCUCAAGAAUUGUCUUCACAAAGCUUCAAAUAGAGAUAUUGUUGUUUCGGAAAAUGCCAACUUCAGUUUUCAGUUUGAUCUGUACUCUUUCAUAUCUAGCACUGUCUCUUGCUGCAUAUUUUCCUCAUGGACAUGUUGGUACAAGACUACAGGUUGUACUCCCUCCGUUCCCAAAUAUAAGUCUAAAAAGACUUAUAUUUAG